rnacentral:rRNA from 1 species
GGGUUGUGAGGUUAAGCGACUAAGCGUACACGGUGGAUGCCCUGGCAGUCAGAGGCGAUGAAGGACGUGCUAAUCUGCGAUAAGCGUCGGUAAGGUGAUAUGAACCGUUAUAACCGGCGAUUUCCGAAUGGGGAAACCCAGUGUGUUUCGGCACACUAUCAUUAACUGAAUCCAUAGGUUAAUGAGGCGAACCGGGGGAACUGAAACAUCUAAGUACCCCGAGGAAAAGAAAUCAACCGAGAUUCCCCCAGUAGCGGCGAGCGAACGGGGAGGAGCCCAGAGCCUGAAUCAGUGUGUGUGUUAGUGGAAGCGUCUGGAAAGGCGCGCGAUACAGGGUGACAGCCCCGUACACAAAAAUGCACAUAUUGUG